rnacentral:rRNA from 1 species
UACAGAGGUCUCAAGCGUUGUUCGGAUUCAUUGGGCGUAAAGGGUGCGUAGGCGGCGCGGUAAGUCGGGUGUGAAAUCUCGGAGCUUAACUCCGAAACUGCAUUCGAUACUGCCGUGCUUGAGGACUGGAGAGGAGACUGGAAUUCCCGGUGUAGUGGUGAAAUGCGUAGAUAUCGGGAGGAACACCAGUGGCGAAGGCGACUUCCUGGCCUGUUCUUGACGCUGAGGCGCGAAAGCUAGGGAGCAAACGGG